CUCUCUCUCUCCUGCAUUCAAAAACCCGAUUUCUCAAUUUUCUGUUUUACUGUCUUGCGUUGAUUCCCUCUCGUGUAGGAACAAAGUAACCGUGGUCCCCCUCGCUCGCCUGUAACUCAACAACACAGCUGUAGAAGAGCUUGCCAUGCCCUGAAGGGAGAGAACAGCAGACUUCAUGGGAGGAUGCACAGCCUUGCUGUUAUUGGUUAUGUGCAUGAUUAAUUCAAACCGAAUUUCACAGUUGUAGAAGAUCCUGUGAGGUUAUGUUGUCAACUUACAAUUUCAUAUAAUUCUUUAUUCUAGUGGUUUCCUUAUUAGUGCAACAUAAUUUGAAGUACGUCAUUAGCAAUGCUCAUUGUUUUGGUGGGAUUGGUUGGGCCAUGACAGAGUUCAGUUGGGAUGUCAAGUAUGCUGGCCUUCAAAUCAUGGCUUCCAAGGUAAAAUCGAACCUUUUCAUCUCUCAUUAUAUAGGACUUUGCUUUUGCCCAGUUUCAAAGAUGAGUUAGUAUUAAUUUACUUUAAAUCACACUUUCACUUCUUUUUUUGCCUAUUGAACUACUGCAAUCGCGUUACUGCCUCCUGGGGUACGAAGAAAGCUGCGUUCGUCUCGGCCUUGGAAUUAGUUGACAGGGUAAUGGGAAUGGAUCAUUCGUGUAAAUUUCACGAUGGCAUUUGAUCUUGUGGACUUUACUGAAGCUGAUGAGAAUUUGAACGUGGAAUCGCCUGACCUGUUUUAUGCUGGCUUUGAUAGAAAUUAAUGAUGGGAGAGAUGCUGAAACUGAAUAAAAUGAGGCAGUGCAAGCUGUUCUUGGUGUUUGAUUAUUGUGCUAAGGAGGGAAUACAUGUGUUUAAAUUUUGGACGUGUUUUUGGUUGAAUUUUGCAUGUGUUUGGUUGAAUAAAGGGGAGUGUUUUUGCUUGAA